rnacentral:rRNA from 1 species
AGCUCCAAUAGCGUAUAUUAAAGUUGUUGCGGUUAAAAAGCUCGUAGUUGGAUUUCUGCCGAGGACGUCCGGUCCGCCCUCUGGGUGUGUACAUGGUACGGCCUGGGCAUCUUCUUGGAAAACGUAUCUGCACUUGACUGUGUGGUGCGGUAUCCAGGACUUUUACUUUGAGGAAAUUAGAGUGUUUCAAGCAGGCCUACGCCUUGAAUACAUUAGCAUGGAAUAAUAAGAUAAGACCUCGUCUCUAUUUUGUUGGUUUCUAGAGCUGAGGUAAUGAUUAAUAGGGAUAGUUGGGGGCAUUCGUAUUUAACUGUCAGAG